rnacentral:tRNA from 1 species
UCUAAUAUGGCAGAAUAGUGCAAUGGAUUUAAGGCCCAAGUAUAAAGAUAACUUUUUUUAGAA